rnacentral:rRNA from 1 species
GUCCACGCCGUAAACGAUGGGUGCUAGGUGUCGCGGGCUUUGACCCCUGCGGUGCCGUAGCUAACGCAUUAAGCACCCCGCCUGGGGAGUACGGCCGCAAGGCUAAAACUCAAAGGAAUUGACGGGGGCCCGCACAAGCGGUGGAGCAUGUGGUUCAAUUCGACGCAACGCGCAGAACCUUACCUGGGCUAGAAAGUGUAGGGACUUGGUUGAAAAAUCGAGGUGCUCUUCGGAGAACCUACAGUUAGGUGCUGCAUGGCUGUCGU